rnacentral:rRNA from 1 species
UACGUAGGGUGCAAGCGUUUGUCCGGAAUUAUUGGGCGUAAAGAGCUCGUAGGCGGUCUGUCGCGUCGGCUGUGAAAACCCGAGGCUCAACCUCGGGCCUGCAGUCGAUACGGGCAAACUAGAGUACUGCAGGGGAGACUGGAAUUCCUGGUGUAGCGGUGAAAUGCGCAGAUAUCAGGAGGAACACCGGUGGCGAAGGCGGGUCUCUGGGCAGUAACUGACGCUGGAGGAGCGAAAGCGUGGGGAGCGAACAGG